GGGCGCUUGGCUCAGCGGCAGAGCACCGCAUUCACAUUGCGGGGGUCAUUGGUUCAAAUCCAAUAGCGCCCACCA
rnacentral:tRNA from 2 species